GACGAACGCUGGCGGCGUGCUUAACACAUGCAAGUCGAACGCUGAAGCUCAGCUUUUGUUGGGUGGAUGAGUGGCGAACGGGUGAGUAACACGUGAGUAACCUGCCCCCUGCUUUGGGAUAACGACCGGAAACGGGUGCUAAUACUGGAUAUUCACUGGUCUUCGCAUGGGGGGUGGUGGAAAGGGCUUUUCUGGUGGGGGAUGGGCGCGGUGCUUAUCGGCUUGGUGGGGGGGUGAUGGCCUACCAAGGCUUUGGCGGGUAGCCGGCCUGAGAGGGUGCCCGGUCACAUGGGGACUGAGAUACGGCCCAGGCUACUGCGGGGGGGAGCAGUGGGGAAAAUUGCACAAAGGGCGGAAGACUGAUGCAGCGAUGCCGCGUGAGGCAUGGAGGCCUUCAGGUUGUGACCCUCUUUCGCACAUGGUCAAGCCGCAACAAUGGUUGUAGUGAGGGUAGUGGGUAAAGAAGCGCCGGCUAACUACGUG
rnacentral:rRNA from 1 species